AACGAACGCUGGCGGCAUGCCUAACACAUGCAAGUCGAACGAGACCUUCGGGUCUAGUGGCGCACGGGUGCGUAACGCGUUGGAACCUGCCCUUAGGUUCGGCAUCACUCCCCGAAAGGGGUGCUAAUACCGGAUAAUGUCUUCGGACCCAAGAUUUAUCGCCUUUGGUUGGGCCCGCGUUGGAUUGGCUAGUUGGUAGGGUAAAAGCCUACCCAGGCGACGAUGCAUAGCUGGUCUGAGAGGAGGAUCAGCCACACUGGGACUGAGACACGGCCCAGACUCCUACGGGAGGCAGCGGUGGGGAAUAUUGGACAAUGGGCGAAAGCCUGAUCCAGCAGUGCCGCGUAAGUGAUGAAGGCCGUAGGGUUGUAAAGCUCUUUUACCCGGGAUGAUAAUGACAGUACCGGGAGAAUAAGCUCCGGCUAACUCCGUG
rnacentral:rRNA from 1 species